UACGUAGGGGGCAAGCGUUGUCCGGAAUCAUUGGGCGUAAAGCGCGUGUAGGCGGCUGGCUAAGUCCGCUCUGAAAGCCCGGGGCUCAACCCCGGGAGGCGGGUGGAUACUGGUCAGCUCGAGUCCGGAAGAGGAGUGUGGAAUUCCUGGUGUAGCGGUGAAAUGCGCAGAUAUCAGGAGGAACACCAAUGGCGAAGGCAGCACUCUGGGACGGUACUGACGCUGAGGUGCGAGAGCGUGGGGAGCAAACAGG
rnacentral:rRNA from 1 species